rnacentral:piRNA from 1 species
UUUCGAAGAAGUACGGACCAAUGACGCC